rnacentral:rRNA from 1 species
AGGGUGUAAACGCUGCAGACUUGGUGUUGGAGGCCCUUUGGGGGCAUUCAGUGCCGGAGAGAAGUUGUUAAGUCUGCUACUUGGGGAGUACGUCCGCAAGGAUGAAACUUAAAGGAAUUGGCGGGGGAGCACCGCAACGGGAGGAGCGUGCGGUUUAAUUGGAUUCAACACCGUAAAACUCACCAGGGAAGACUGUUACAUGAAGGCCGAGAUGAAGACUCUGCUAGAUUUUCUAGAGAGGUGGUGCAUGGCGUCAGUGACUGU